UAGUCUGGGAAACUGCCUGAUGGAGGGGGAUAACUACUGGAAACGGUAGCUGAUACCGCAUAAUGUCGCAAGACCAAAGUGGGGGACCUUCGGGCCUCAUGCCAUCAGAUGUGCCCAGAUGGGAUUAGCUAGUAGGUGGGGUAACGGCUCACCUAGGCGACGAUCCCUAGCUGGUCUGAGAGGAUGACCAGCCACACUGGAACUGAGACACGGUCCAG
rnacentral:rRNA from 1 species